rnacentral:rRNA from 1 species
CCCCCCUACGACGCUACGAUGUCCUCCGCGGCGUUACACUACGUUGGCUGUCAUUGCCCUCGAUGUUGACAGUCUACCACCUAGACGUAAGUCUGCCGGUCGUCGCCGCCAACGGCUGACGUACACCUCUGCUCGUACCACUCCGCCUUUCGACACUGCCCGUUUCUAAAAACGACCUAGAUCGCAGUACAAAACAACCCUGGCCGACCCGCUACACGAUGCUACCACAACUUCUAACGAUGCCGCUGCUGCCCUGAGCAGUCGACCCUCCUCGACGUUGACAACCGUCCGGCCUGUUACUCAGCACCACGACGUUCGCCGGCUGCUCCCCCCGUACGCGGUAGCAACGAUACUGCUCGCUGCCUCGCUCGUGGCUCACCACGCUCAUGUAAAUGGGGCGGUCAGUGUAAUACGUCGCCCUCGGAUACAAGCACGGUAACCGCUACUGAGACAGCGCGGGUGUAGACUUCGACGUGUACAACAAGUGACAGUAAUAGUGAACACGCGACCGGCCGCUGCACCAGUGCCAUUGAUAGAAGGCGUGGAACCGGCAGCAGCUCCUCGUGUUUCUGCGCCCCGCGUUUUGCGUAAAUUCUCUAGGGUCGGGAGCGGCGGCGGCGGCGGCUCAUCCAACGACGUGCGACUGCCGGUGCGCGCCGCCCUCUCCAGCUCCUCUAUGCCUCCAGCGGCGCACAGAGCUUCUCCUCCGGCGCACAGAGCUUCUCCUCCGGCGGCAGCGUUGAGGCCGGCAGACGUUAAUGGGAGCUGCCGCCCCUCGGCGGCCGUGCCCAACGCUGGUCACAAAAGAAUCUUAAGGCUCAAAGGAUUUGGUAAAGGUAUAAGGUCUAAAAAGUUCUGAACAACCUUAGGGAUACUGACGUCAAGUGGGCGGGACGGUGAGGGAAAUGACGCGGUCUCGAGUACAGAUGCGGCGGUAUUCUGGAACGUUGCCCAAAUAGGCCUGUACACCUCAGUAGUAUUCUCGAGUACAGUCUACGAUGGGGACGUCCUAGCUGGCCCGGCUACGAUUAGAUCUGCUUUGUGUUCUUUAUUAGUUUCCCUGUUCCCUACUCUAACCUUGUAAGGUCGACGUAUUUAUAAAGGGAAAGAACAUGAAAACCUACCGCUUUGCUUUGUUUCUUCUAACAAGAACAUGGUUCGUUUACGUCUGGUUUAGUAAAGAAUAUUAAUCUUCUUUAGAACGAACCAUAGUUAGGGGAACGGGGAGUAAGAAACUCUUUGCCUUCCAGCGUCACUAGGUACACCUAGACUCGCGGAAAGUCUUCCUCGAGGUUCUUCAGUCGGCAUGCCAACUUUAUACCCACAGUUCCGACAGACUAUAGCUCCUGUGAGUCCUAGCAUGACUCGCACGUUGUCUUCGGAACCAACCCAAGUCGGUUGUUGAUCUUGUACCACCGGUCUUAGGGUUAUAAGCGGUCCGUUCAACCGCCGGGUCGAAUUCGUUAAGGAAUCACCGUACAACGAAUGUACUAAGCGAUGACCAAGACGUAGUUGAUGGCAAUGAAGAUCUCAGUAUGAGACUUCUCUAUAAAAGUUAAAACUCCAGAGUAGUAAGGAAGGUCGAGAUC